GAAGGCCAGAAAAAAAACAAGGCAUGCGUGUUGUGUUGGACAUGACAGUCGGUCUCAAGGGGCAUAAUAUCACAUGUGAUAACUUUUUCACAUCACAUGGGCUCAGGAGCUGCUGAAAAGAAAGCUCACCAUGGCGGGGACAGUGAGGAAGAAUAAGCCUUAACUUCCCCCUGCACUGGUUUCGACCAGAGGGAGAAAUGCACUCUCAUCCAAAUUUGCUUUCACUGAAACACAGUCUUGUCAUAUUUGCCCAAGAAAAUUAAGAAUGUCAUCCUGAUGAGCACUCUACACAAAUACGCCGCUGUCAGCAAAGCAGAGCACAGGAAACCCCAGAUCAUCCUGGACUACAACAGAAAAAAGGCAUUGACUGCCUUGAUAAGCUUACUGGUACAUACACCUGCAAGUGAAUGACAGCUCGUUGGCCUGUGGCAGUGUUCCACAACAUCCUUGAUGUGUCUGCAUGUAAUGCAUAUGUGGUGUGGACAGCGAUUGACCCAGCCUGGAAUCAGGGGAAAUGUUUCAAGAGGAGACUCUUCCUGGCAGAGCUUGGGAAAGCUUUAGUGACUCCUCUAAUUCAACGGCGCCAGCACCUUCCCCGCACACCAGCCUAUGGCAGUCUGGUGAGGAGUCUGCAAGCCCCAGCCACUGCCCUGGCCGCUCUGCGCCCAAAACAGGGGCAGAAACAGAAGAGUUCAUGUUGAUGUUCUGUGAAUUUGGUCUGUUUUGAUUUUUCUGUCCUUUUUUUACAAUAAAUGUUAAUUUUGGAACACAA